GAUGUAUUUCAGUGCGCACAGGAAUUUCAAUUGGACGACGACCUAUCCAGGACAGAAGAUGAGGUUUUUCCUAACGACGACCACAUCUUUGAAGAACUUAUGGGACCUCAACCGCCACCGACUAACCAUUAUUUAACUUUGCUGGAUGAUGGAGAUGACGACGCAUUACUAGAUGUUUUAUUUGACCUAGAUUCUUAACUUUUUAAUUAUAAAUACACCAUGCAUAAAGAAAAAUAAAGUAAAAACUAUUUUAAAAUUGAGGGCUUAUAAUUGUUUUUUAUUUAUUGAACAAUUUUUCUUUGCCUUACAAAUACUUUUUAGCUCUGCGUUGUGAACCAAUAGACGAUGCAUAUUAAAGUCGUAUCGCAACCAAAUUUUCCGUACUUUAGGACAGAAAUAACAAUAAUAAAAGGAGGAUUUAGAUUUCUGAUAGGCGAAGUUGUGUAUUUUUAAUGUAUGCGCUUUUAGACCGCUGCGAGUAGUAAAGGAUUUUGUUUCUGAACACAACUCGCAAUGGUACUUCACCAUUUCGAUGUUUUUAAAAAUAAACUGACUUUUCUAUAAAAAAUUUAUCUUAUAUAGCAUUUGAGGGACAAUUCUUACGUUAUAUAUACUAUCUUUAUUUUAACGCUAUUGAAAGAUUUAUAUAAAUAUAAAAAGAGAUAGACAUACUGAUAUGUAUUUCUAACUUUAUUCUCAAGUAUUACAUAGUUUGAAUAAGUAUUUUGGUGCAUAUAAUGAAGACAUAUUGUUAUCUCAUUUACUCCACAUGAAUUGAUAGAAGUGUAUAGUUUUUGACAAGUAUAAAAGACCAUGUAAUUUCUGGUUAAAGAAUUAGUAUACAACAGUUAGGUACUAGUGCACGACGAAUCCAAACUUACGCUGAUCAAAAAUGGACUUCUUAGAGACCUUAAAUGACGUGAAGCCUGUGAUUGGCUACACAAAAAUUGAAAAUCUAUGUAUUGGAUUUAAGUAUAAGAUCACUGGAUGUAAGCUGAAAAAGACACCAUAUGGAACUAAAAUAGCUCUAUAUUUAACUGAUAAGGACGAUAAAGAUGUUUGGAUAUUUCUACCUAAAAGUUAUGUGAACAAAUUUUCUACAAAGACACCAUUUAGGAAAUUAAAUGAGAAUGGAAUAACUCAUAUGGUAUAUAAAGGAAAAGAUCUGAACAGAUUUAGUUGUGCUCAAAUUGAAUUUUUAUCAGUAAAUAAGUAAAGUAAAUAAGAUUCUUCAAUAUAAAGAGCUGAGUUUUUAAAUCCAACAACAGUCUUAAAUCAGUCUCAAAAAGAAAUAGUUGUCCUUAAAAAUGUACGCUCAACAGAUAGAACUAUUCUUGAUGCAAUUUGAAGGCAUGCUUUUCGAGCAACACCUACAAAGGAUGGAGUUCCUAAAAGCUACUUUGGAGGAUUUAGAGGAAAAAGAGUUGAUCCAUUCGAAGUUUGGAUUCCAUUAUAAACUUUGUCCCUGGAGCGACGAUGAUGCUUCAUCUGGACCAGACACAUGUCAGUGUCAUAUGCUGCCUGCACUGAAAGAGGAAGCCCUUAGUCUAAUGAUUAAAUAUUAUAAGUUAAACAAACGUAUUGCUCCAAAACCAUAAAUAAAACGAAUUAAUUUUACUAAAUA